AUGGCAGCUAUCCGCCCUCUCAUCCCAAAGCUCGGCGAACUGCUUGUUGGCGAGUUCACCCUCGAGAAGCGCGUGAAGAAAGGCGUGGAGUCUCUUGUCAGAGAGAUGACACUCAUGCAAGCCGCGCUGCGUAAGGUGGGGAAGGUGCCAGCAGACCAGCUCGAUGAGGGGACCAAGAUCUGGGCAGGAAUGGUGAGGGAGUUGUCCUACCAAAUGGAGGAUAUCGUUGACUCAUUCAUGGUGUGUGUGGAGGAUGGUGGCAAGCCUGCCAACCCAAAGAACAGAGUCAAGAAGUUGCUCAAGAAGACCAAGAGAUUAUUCAAGAAGGGGAAGGAUCUCCAUCGUAUCUCUGAUGCUCUCGAAGAAGUGUUUGUUCAAGCUAGGCAAUUGGGCGAGCUGCGUCAAAGGUAUGAACAAGAGACGCGGGAUUCCGACGCUGGUGCUAGUGUUGACCCUCGCGUGAUGGCCCUAUACACAGAUGUUACAAAGCUUGUCGGCGUUGAAGAACCACGAGACAAGUUGAUCGACAUGUUGAUUGAAGGUGAUGAUUGGUCGAAGCAUCCAUUGAAGACGGUUUCUAUUGUUGGAUUUGGUGGGAUGGGCAAGACAACUCUUGCCAAAGCAGUGUAUGACAAGCUCAAAGUGCAAUUUGAUUGUGGUGCCUUUGUUUCAGUUUCUCAAAAUCCCGACAUCAAGAAGGUUUUCAAGAAUAUUUUGUAUGAAUUUGACAAGUGCAAGUAUGCACACAUUCAUAAUACAGAAUGGCAAGAAAGACAUCUGAUCGAUGAAAUCAUUGAAUUUCUUAAUGACAAGAGGUAUCUCAUCGUAAUUGAUGAUAUAUGGAAUGAAAAAUCAUGGGAGCUAAUCAAGUGUGCUUUCUCCAAGAAGAGUCAUGGCAGUAAAUUAAUCACGACAACCCGUAUCGUAAGUGUCUCUGAAGCAUGUUGCUCUUCUAGUGAUGAUAUUUACAGAAUGAAACCUCUCUCGAAUGAUCUCUCGAGAAGGCUCUUCUGUAAAAGAGUAUUUUCUCAUGAGGAAGGGUGUCCUAAAGAAUUGGUGCAAGUAUCCGAAGACAUCUUGAAGAAAUGUGGUGGAAUACCGUUAGCCAUUAUUACUAUAUCAAGUCUUAUGGCUAACAAGCAUCGGAUAAACACAAAGGAGCAAUGGUAUGCUUUGCUCAAUUCCAUUGGCAGGGGACUCGCGGAAGACCGCAGCGUGGAGGAGAUGAAGAAGAUAUUACUAUUCAGCUAUUAUGAUUUACCGUCAUAUUUGAGGCCUUGCUUAUUAUACCUAAGCAUCUUUCCAGAAGAUAGUCAUAUUUUAAGAGACAAGCUGAUAUGGAAGUGGAUAGCCGAGGGCUUUGUUUAUAGUGAAAACCAAGAAAGUAGCUUGUAUGAGCUCGGUAAGAGCUACUUUAAUGAGCUAGUGAAUAGAAGUAUGAUCAGUCCAAUAGACAUUGAAGAUAAUUGGGGAGAGAAGGAGGAAGCUUGCAGUGUACAUGACAUGGUGCUUGAUCUCAUAUGCUCAAUUUCAAGUGAAGAGAACUUUGUCACUAUAUUGGAUUGCACCAAGAUAAAAAUGUCUAACUCGCAAAGUAAGGUUCGUAGAUUAUCAAUCCAAAAUAGCAAAGUAGAUGUGGAAACCACCGGGAUGGCACAAGUAAGAUCUCUUUUUUGGACCAAUAAUAUUGCUGUAAAAAAACUGGAUAUUUCACGUUUCCAACUACUCCGUGUACUGGAUUUGGAAGGUUGUGAUGUCUCAGAUAUUGAAUAUGUGGGGAAUCUGUUACAUUUGAGGUACUUAGGGCUAAAAGGUACUGAUGUCCAGGACCUUCCCAUGGAAAUAGGGAGCCUACAGUUUUUGCUUACCUUGGACUUAAGAAGUACUUGGAUAACAGAAUUGCCAUCGAGUAUUGUGCAACUAAGACAUCUGAUGUGCCUGUAUAUUGCCAAUGAAACGAAGCUGCCGCCUGGGAUAUGUAACCUGACUUCUCUGGAAGUGCUAGGUGAACCGGUGUUGUCUGACAAGGACGUCAAUGUUGUGAAAGAGCUGGGCCAUCUGACAAAACUGAGGGUGCUCCGGUUUGGUUUGCAAGAUCUGAAUGAGAGUCUAGAUAAAGCAUCAUUGGAAUCCCUAGGUAAAGCUGUGGAGGAAUCCCUAGGUAAGUUGUGCCAACUGGACAGUCUCUAUAUUGUGUCUGAUGCUGAACAUCUCAAUUUGAUGAGUGACAGUUGGGUGCCCCCUGUACAACUCCGUAGAUUGCUUAUUCCCUCAAUGUCCAGUUUCUUCCAGACACUGCCAGCAUGGAUUAAUCCUUCAUCACUUCCUCUACUCGCCUAUCUCAGUUUAACCGUGGAUGAAGUGCGAUCGGAGGACAUCCGGCUUCUUGGGAUGAUGCCGGCUCUUUGUUCUCUCAUGCUUCUAUGUCUUGCUGAUUCCUCACGAGGGAAUGUGGUGGAAGUGCCUGUCCUUUCCUCUGGUGCAUUCCCAUGUGCUACAGAGUGCUACUUCGUUUGUAUUGACGUCGUGCCGUCAAUGUUUCCACGAGGAGCAGCGCCAAGGCUUAAACGCCUUUCAUUCACCUUCCCAGCUAAGUGGAUCUCCCAUGAAAACAUUGAUUUGGGCAUGCGGCACCUCCCUUCCCUAGAGGAAGUCGAGGUUUCAGUUGUAAAGGAGGAAGCUAGCGACUGGGAGGUGGAUGAAGCAAAGGCUGCGGUGAGGGCCGCAGUGGAGGACCACCCCAACCGUCCCGUCCUUGACCUACGUUACUAG
rnacentral:rRNA from 1 species